UACGUAGGGGGGCUAGCGUUGUCCGGAUUUAUUGGGCGUAAAGAGCGUGUAGGCGGCCAGGUAGGUCCGGUGUGAAAACUCGAGGCUUAACCCCGAGAUGUCAUCGGAAACCAUCUGGCUAGAGUCCGGAAGAGGAAAGUGGAAUUCCUGGUGUAGCGGUGAAAUGCGCAGAUAUCAGGAAGAACACCAAUGGCGAAAGCAGCUUUCUGGGACGGUACUGACGCUGAGACGCGAAAGCGUGGGGAGCGAACAGG
rnacentral:rRNA from 1 species